rnacentral:tRNA from 1 species
GCCGCUAUAGCUCAGUUGGUAGAGCAGUUGAUUUGUAAUCAUCAGGUCCGGGGUUCGAUUCCUCGUGGCGGCACCA